UGAAAGCAGAGGACGGAACGGGCAGCCGUCGCCCAUUGUUAGGAGAUGUGGGAAUUGUCACCCCACCUAUUUCA
rnacentral:ncRNA from 12 species